UGCCAGCAGCCGCGGUAAGACGAAGGUGGCGAGCGUUAUUCGGAUUUACUGGGCAUAAAGCGCGCGUAGGCGGCUCGGUCAGUCGGAGGUGAAAGCCCACAGCUCAACUGUGGAACUGCCCUCGAUACUGCCGAGCUUGAGUGUAGGAGAGGUGACCGGAACUCCAGGUGUAGCGGUGAAAUGCGUAGAUAUCUGGAGGAACACCAGAGGCGAAGGCGGGUCACUGGACUAUUACUGACGCUGAGGUGCGAAAGCUAGGGGAGCGAACAGGAUUAGCUA
rnacentral:rRNA from 1 species